GCGCGCGGCGGGAGACGCUGUGACUCCAGAAACGCGGCGGCGGGCCCUGGAGCAGCUUGGGAGGGGGCGGGGCCGCCGGGCGCAUGCGCCCUGUGUGCCUGCGGCCGGCGUGGCGGCCUUUCCGAGCGGGCGCCUUGGCGGUGGUCGGGUGGCUUCGGUGGCCUGUGGGACCGAGUUGCCGUGGUGACGGCCGGGCGUUGCCGCGUGUGACACCUGGAUGAGAGCUUGCUGGAGGAGGCUGGCGAGGCUGAGCGCCGGAGUUUCCACGGAGUAAAGCACUCAGACACAUACUAGGUACUCAGUAAGCAUUGGACUUGGAGCAGAGGAGACCUUCCUGUCCAUCUUCCUACAAUGCUACCAAUUCCAGCCUUCCCCAAGGAGGCUUAGGGGAUUCCAAUUUCCAAACCAGACAUGAUUUCCCAGUUACAGACAGCAGAGGAACCAUGGAUGCUGUAAAGAGAAGUGCCAUGAGGUUUCUGUCCAGGGUCUGGGCCUAGACCACUGGCUUGAUGCUUUUAGAUAUCCCUUUCCAGUAUCAAGGUUGAUCAACUUUCCUGCAGUUAUCUGGUUGGCCAUUAGCAGAGCUAAGACUAGAAGUAGGAUGCAUGCUGCCCAAGAUGGGAUUUCUUCUAUCGUACCAGACCAAGAAGCAAUUCCUGGAAGGUUCCUGGGACCUCUAGAAUAGUAGAGAUAGCAGAGCCUGGAAAAUGGAAACUUCAUAGCCCAAUGAUUCUGCUCAUACACUGGUCAAAUUCUAUACACAGGGCAACUAAAUGAAGUAGACUCAGACUCUGGUCUGAAAGCUCGUGUUCCCAGGAAACUCACUCCCAGAAAUAAGUUGGGUGCUGUUAGAAACAGAGGGGGCAGAUUUGAUGAGACUUGGAAGUCCUGAAAAUGUUGAGAAAGGCAAGUCUGAGAAAUGCUAUAUAAUACUGCCAGUGUGCCUCUCUUUCUGUCCCCUGGAUAGGGCGAGUUGGGAGCAGAUACAGUGAGCCUCAAGUUAUGGAGAAAGAAAUAGAGUUAUACAGUGGCCAAGUGGUCUAUUUAUAGUCAAACCAUUAGGACCAGAAUAGAAAUGAGGCCUCCGGAUUCCCAAAUUGUGGACACAUAACUAUACCACUUUAUUUCUCUUAUACAAUUUUACCUGUCUCCUUUUUAAAAAUUUAAAUUCAAUUAGCCAACAUAUAGUACAUCAUUAGUUUUUGAUAUAAUGUUCAAUGAUUCAUUAGUUGCAUAUAAUACCCAGUGCUCAUCACAUCAUGUGCCCCCAACUGUCUCCUAUCCAUAAAGAUUUCCUCCCAAGGAAACCAGCAAACUGAUCCCAUAUAUUUAUAUGGUAUUAAUUAAAAUAUAUAUAUAUAUAUAUAUAUAUAUAUAUAUAUAUAUAUAUAUAGUGCAGCAGUUCUCAAACAUUUUGGUCUCAUGACCCUUUUUGACUCUUAAGGAUUAUUGAAGCGGUACCUUUGGGUAUUAUGUAUUAUAUCCAUCAAUAUUUAGUGUAUUCAGACUUGAUACUAAGACAAUUGUAUUUAUUUAUUCAAUUAAAAUAACCAUGUAAGCAUAAAAAAACUUCUGAAAAAAUCAAAAACCAAAAAAUUUAGGGGAAAGAGUGGCAUUAAUUUACAUUUUUGCAAAUCUGUCUUUUUUAUUAAGUUCACUUAGCCAACAUAUAGUAUAUAAUUAGUUUUUGAUGUAGUGUUCAGUGAUUCAUUAGUUGCAUAUAACACCCAGUGCUCCAACAGAUGAAUGGAUAAAGAAGAUGUGAUUCAAAUAUACAACAGAAUAUUACUCAGCCAUCAGAAAGGAUGAAUACCUACCAUUUGCAUCGACAUGGAUGGAACUAGAGGGUAUUACACUAAGUGAAAUUCCGGUCAGUCAGAUGAGACUGACUCCACCCUGGCCUUGCUGCCCAGUAUGGUAAUGAUGCCCACCUUGCCCCUGGUAGUUUUGUGCCACCAUUGGGACCCUGCCUUUUGAGAAUCCUGUCAUCUCCACUGAUUGCCAGUUCCAUGCCGUCACCGCUUGCUUCCAACAACGGUUUGCAGAGGAGAGUCAGCACUGAGCUCCUCAAAGAUGCCAGUGCCACUUCACCAGCAACAUUCCUUAUUUGAGUCGUGAUUUCUCUGCCCUCCAAAGAAACAGAGGCUGGAGGUAGGACUCUGAUCUCACAUUAUAAGUCAUAUCUAAAAACCUACUCCCCUGGACCUUCUCGCCGAUUCCUCAAUUUUCUCUGCCUAGGAAGUUCCAGUAUUUCCGUGUCAUUUACUGUAGACUGUUUGUUGUCCACGCUUCUAUAACAUGCACAUUAUAGGGGCCCUUAAAGGGGCUGGGUUGGCCCCUUUAAGGACAUCAAACCCCAAGUCACAGCUCUGUGCUCCCACGUUAGUAAGUUCUCUCCAUGCUGACUUAUAUUCUGUUCCCUGUCUUGUGGGACCAACAUUCUCAAAAUCCACUGGCACAUAUAUUAUCUCGCUUCAUGCAAGUACCUAUGAGUCGGGUCCUACAGUGUCUUCUGAAUGUAAGGCAUUUCCCCUCCAAACCAAACUGUAUUUUUUUUUUCUUGUGCUGUCAUCUUACCUAGUCUUACCUACCCUUGUUAUUAGUCCGAUAGUAAUGGAAGUUAGCAGAGAUUAAUGUUGAAUAAGAGAAGCAACAUCUGUUUGGGUGGCUGCCUUAGAUGAGGUCUUUGCAGGGUCUCCAGGAACAAGGAAGCUUCUCCAGUAGCAAGAGUUACGGGACUGCUAAUGCCCAGAUGCUUUAAUCUUCGAAGAGGAACUCGAAUGCCACUCAUUUCGCCGUGCAUGUUUGCCUCAAUCAAAAGCACCCUCGCAGUCUGCUCUGUUUGGCUGACACUCUUUACCACCGCUGGCCAAAAUGGGUGAUCCUGGAAUUUGAACCAGACCAUCAUUCCUCCUUCAAUGGGACGAGGCUCCUGUGGAAAAGCCAUGCUUGUCGGUUGUCCCAUUUCCUUGCUGACGUCCUUUUUAAUAGCAGUGGUGGGGCUGAUAGCCUUUGAGCUGACGGAAGGCUGAAGUCCUUGCAGCCCUUUCUCAAACUCUGGUACCUGCAGCUUCCUUUUUCUAUUUGCCAGACGGAGUGAGUAACGCAGCUUCGGGUUAGGGGCACUGCAGGAUGCUGCCACACCUUCCAAGCCUGGCUUCCAGGGACCCUCUCCGUGGUCCCCAACAUUCCCGGAGAAGGCAGAGCAUUCAGAGGAGACGGCCAGGGCCUUUGGGUCGGUGUCACGUGCCUCUUCUUUCAGAGCCUUGGGUACAGUGAGGUUGAACCCUGGUGGCAGAGAUGGAAGGGCGCCUCCGUCUUUAGCACUUGUACCCUCCUCCUUGGCUGGGCGACGCAAGGGCCUAACUCUUGAGGCGUCCCUCUUUUCCUUGCCCUCUUCCUCAUAAUCUCCCUCUGAAAGUGACGGGAAGUUUGGGUACCUGCUGGAGCUUUGUGGGGACUCCCCUUGCAUUUUCCUUGGAAUAGGAGUGACGGUUCUGUGUGCCCGUGGUCGGCCACCGUCUGGGGCGUCCUCACUCUGUGAACGUACCAGCAGCGAUUUGAGUUUUUUGCUUUUCCUGAGGCCCCUCAGUAAGUUCCCUUUGGGCUUCCGGUACUUUCUACGAGAUCGCUUUUGUGGUCCCCUUUGGGACGGCUUAAUGGUCUCUGGAUCAUCUGAUGCUCUUGCUGGACCCAGAUUUGCUCUCUCAUUCAGAAUCUCCAGUGCCACUGUAAGAGCGUUUCUGUAGGGCACUUCCCGUCCUGGUGGGACACUGGCCUCCGACUCGGCUGUUAGCAAGGAGGUAAUGUAUUCAAUUUGAGACUCAUUUAGGAUCUUUAUGUCUGUGCUUUUCACCUCAAUUUUUUCAUCUACGGAGAGUAUCUCAACUUUUAGAGAAAGUGCCCCUUUCCUCUUAUUUCUUGGUGAGAUCCUAGAUCUGGACAAAACCUUUGCUGGCCAAAAAUGGCCUUUCCAAUUGCACAGGACAUACUCAGCAUCCAUGACGACUUGAGUUUCCUCUCAAGAGGUAAUUAACAGAGGUCGCGAGGUCCGGCCAUCAUACCCACAGGCACGGCAGGUCUUCCCUAAAGCAAUGUUGUUCACCACACCUCUUUGGCCUGGGACCACAAAGGGCUUACGGCUUGCAUGGCCUGUCCUUCUUCACCUGAAUCUCCCAGGGUCGCUGGAACUUGUGUUUUGAAUGGACUAUACUGGAGAAUACUGGAAUGUGGAAAAGGAAAAGAAGAAAAGUAUUAGAAAAAAAUUCCUUUUGUGAAAGUAGAAGAACAUUGGUCGAUGAGGAUUGAUAAGAGAUAAAACAAAGAAAUAUAAAGAGUGUGUAUCAGACAGGGGGUAAAUACAUGGCAAGUAUCGGGGCGGGGGGCGGGGGCCGGGAAAUGCAGAAGAAGAUACCAGAGGAAUUUUAUUACUUUCCAAACCCAACUUCUUGCCCUGCUUGUUACUCCUGCAAUAUUAAAGAGCAUCUGUGUGGGGAGGUGGGUGUCAUUUUCCAGAUCUCAUUUGUGUUAUUGGACAUCCUGUGCCUUUGGGGCUCUCUGGGGCUCAUCCUGGGGGAGUGCUUCAGCUCUCAUUUUUCUGGGGGUGCCGAUGCCACCCUGUGCCACCCAAGGAAGCCAGAGGCGAUCUCCAGCCUACAGACACUGAAUGUCAGCACAGUGUUGUGUUCAAGAGCGUGAGCUUAGAACCCAGAGGCUCACGAAGGUCAUCAUGGUGGUUACUGGUACCAUCCUUCAUAAGGAUUGCUGCAGGCGUGGGCCAUUGGCUGUGACCUGCCCUUUUUCAUUUCUCUGUGGUGGCUUAAAAGGCUGUUUCCCCUGCCCCCAGCACAUAUUUGUGUAAAGAAGUGGCUGUAGAGUGAGGAGCAAGAUAAACCACACUCCCCAAGUGUCCUCACGAAGUGAUUGCAAAUGAAAUGUUUAGUAAAACAGGAACGUCUUACAGAACACCACGUGGGUCGGGGGAGGCGAGGUUCUGUGAGCUGCAUCUGUUGAUUCACACACUCCCAACUGCUUGUCCGGCAGACCCUUUACCUCUGCUCUGUGCUUCUGAAGUGCACUGUCCUUCCAGGGAUCAAAUGACAGCAAAUGUAGAUACCCAGGACCUCCUACGUACCUCUAAUGUCAAUCUAGAAAAUCAGAAAAGCAGACGGGAAAUUAAGCCAAUGAGACGGGGAUGGAUUCAUCCUUUUCCCUUCCCCAACUCUGGAAUGUAGCCCAUUCUGAAACAGAAAUGUUAGUUAAGUCUCAUUUAUAAUGUAGACACGUCUAUUUGCUUCCUUCUUUUUGCGUUUCAAAACUAUUUCCACGUUAAGCUACUUAGUUUAGGCUAGUCCUCCUAUUUCAGAACCGUGGGAACCACUGCUUUCAUCAUAGUCUUUUUUUGUCUGUCUUGGACGCAUAGAUUUAAUAGUAGCAGCUUGUGUGUGUGUGUGUGUGUGUGUGUGUGUAACAAAAAUGGGGUCUGCAAGUGUGUUUUGGUGUUUCUCAAGUAACAUUAAAUGGGUUUGUGGAGAACAUAAAACGGGUAGAGAGAGAUAUAUAGGAGGCAAUACAUUAAAGAUGCUUACUGUCAGUAUGAUGGUACGUGGGCUCGUCACACACUUGCGACGCAUCCGUAUACACAUGCCCGCACAUAUUACCGAGGACUACAUUUCUUCACUCAAGAGCAUAUGUGAUCACUGUUUCAUGUGAAUGCUGAUUUUUCACAUCGUUUUUGUGAAUCUCUUUACGAUGUGGUUUCUCUGACAUUUAAAAACUUUACUUAAAUACAUUUCAAACAUUUAGAUGUGUGUAGUGCAGAAAGUGCAAUUGGUCUCUCAAUCCCUCUCCCCACCCCCUCCCCAAGAAAUACCCUGUGAAUGGGUUCGA